CCUACGGGAGGCAGCAGUAGGGAAUCUUCCACAAUGGGCGAAAGCCUGAUGGAGCAACGCCGCGUGGGUGAAGAAGGUCUUCGGAUCGUAAAACCCUGUUGUUAGAGAAGAAAGUGCGUGAGAGUAACUGUUCACGUUUCGACGGUAUCUAACCAGAAAGCCACGGCUAACUACGUGCCAGCAGCCGCGGUAAUACGUAGGUGGCAAGCGUUAUCCGGAUUUAUUGGGCGUAAAGGGAACGCAGGCGGUCUUUUAAGUCUGAUGUGAAAGCCUUCGGCUUAACCGGAGUAGUGCAUUGGAAACUGGGAGACGUGAGUGCAGAAGAGGAGAGUGGAACUCCAUGUGUAGCGGUGAAAGGCGUAGAUAUAUGGAAGAACCCCGAUUGCGAAGGCAGUUUGCUGCAGCGGAACUGACGCUGAUGCUCGAAAGCGCGGGUAUCGAACAGGAUUAGAUACCCCAGUAGUC
rnacentral:rRNA from 1 species